GUGAACGCUGGCGGUAGGCCUAACACAUGCAAGUCGAACGGCAGCACAGUAAGAGCUUGCUCUUACGGGUGGCGAGUGGCGGACGGGUGAGGAAUACAUCGGAAUCUACUUUUUCGUGGGGGAUAACGUAGGGAAACUUACGCUAAUACCACAUACGACCUACGGGUGAAAGCAGGGGAUCUUCGGACCUUGCGCGAUUGAAUGAGCCGAUGUCGGAUUAGCUAGUUGGCGGGGUAAAGGCCCACCAAGGCGACGAUCCGUAGCUGGUCUGAGAGGAUGAUCAGCCACACUGGAACUGAGACACGGUCCAGACUCCUACGGGAGGCAGCAGUGGGGAAUAUUGGACAAUGGGCGCAAGCCUGAUCCAGCCAUACCGCGUGGGUGAAGAAGGCCUUCGGGUUGUAAAGCCCUUUUGUUGGGAAAGAAAAGCAGUAGGUUAAUACCCCGCUGUUCUGACGGUACCCAAAGAAUAAGCACCGGCUAACUUCGUG
rnacentral:rRNA from 1 species